GUGGGGAAUAUUGGACAAUGGGCGAAAGCCUGAUCCAGCCAUGCCGCGUGUGUGAAGAAGGUCUUCGGAUCGUAAAGCACUUUAAGUUGGGAGGAAGGGCAGUAAGUUAAUACCUUGCUGUUUUGACGUUACCGACAGAAUAAGCACCGGCUAACUUCGUGCCAGCAGCCGCGGUAAUACGAAGGGUGCAAGCGUUAAUCGGAAUUACUGGGCGUAAAGCGCGCGUAGGUGGUUUUGUAAGUUGGAGGUGAAAUCCCCGGGCUCAACCUGGGAACUGACUCCAAAACUGCAUGACUAGAGUACGGUAGAGGGUAGUGGAAUUUCCUGUGUAGCGGUGAAAUGCGUAGAUAUAGGAAGGAACACCAGUGGCGAAGGCGACUACCUGGACUGAUACUGACACUGAGGUGCGAAAGCGUGGGGAGCAAACAGGAUUAGAAACCCGAGUAGUCC
rnacentral:rRNA from 1 species